rnacentral:antisense_RNA from 1 species
AGCCACGUCCUUUCGAGGCUGUUGGUGGAGGUCGGCAGAACCCGCUUGCUUGCAGGCUGUGGGGGUUCUGUCGACC